rnacentral:rRNA from 1 species
UACAGAGGUCUCAAGCGUUGUUCGGAUUCAUUGGGCGUAAAGGUUGCGUAGGCGGCGCGGUAAGUCGGGUGUGAAAUCUUGGAGCUUAACUCCGAAACUGCAUUCGAUACUGCCGUGCUUGAGGACUGGAGAGGAGACUGGAAUUUACGGUGUAGCGGUGAAAUGCGUAGAUAUCGUAAGGAAGACCAGUGGCGAAGGCGGGUCUCUGGACAGUUCCUGACGCUGAGGCACGAAGGCCAGGGGAGCAAACGGG